AAAUGUUUGGUUCUGGUUGGUUGUCAGUUGACGUCAUGGGUCGAUAUGGAAUUUAUUUUAUUUUUAAUUUUAAUUUUUUCCCCCAGUGGCAGCAAGGGAUAGGUAGGAUUUUUUUCUCUUCUUUACAGUAGCGAUGGAUACUCUAUUUUUUUCAUAACAUAGCCUACCUGUUACUACAUGUACAGUUGUCGCUUAGUAAAUUGAAAACAUGGUGAGGCGUCAUUCAUGUGCAUAUUAAAACAGUUGUCAUUAGCUUCACUGCUGUUAGCCACCUCCAUUGAGCCACAGGGACUUGCUGUAACGUUAGAGUACUCUAAAGGGUGUUUACCUUUCAUUUGAUCGUGUUU